GAAUUUUUCAAAAUAGAGAGGCGAAUCUUGUAAUUAUAAAGCCUUAUAAUCCAACCCUCUCGUUUCAUAAACCCUAGACCCCCCUCAGUCUCACUCUCACUCUUCUCUCGGUCUCUCCCUCAGCGACGAACGAGGUGUGUUCUGUUGAUUUCAAGAUGCUUGUGUUAUUCGAAACCCCAGCGGGGUUGGCCCUUUUCAAAGUAUUGGACGAAGGGAAACUCUCCAAAGUCGAGCUUGUUGUUUCUCUGAUAUAAGGUUUGUGUCUUAUACCAUCGGUCCUUUCUUUUUUCUAACCCCGGAGAUGUGGGGUUUGUUGGUGCCGGCGUCGGCGGCGGAGGGAGCGAGGGGUCGCCGGAGAGUUGGAGACGAAGGGGAAGGGAAAGGGUCGAAGGCUAAGGCGGGUUAGGUCCUUCCGCUUUUUCGCCAUUCUGUUUAACUUUCUGUCAUUUCUGUGUGCAUUUGUUUUAUACUGCACCCACCCAAAACCAUGUCUGUUUGGUCGGUUUGAUUAGUUUGGUUAUUUCAAAUAAAAAAAUUAAAUCAAAAACUAAACUUCUCAAAAAAGAUGACCGAACCGAAUCAUUAGAAGAAAAUAACCUAACCCAACUGACAAGUUUAGUCGAUUUUGUUUGGUUAGUUCGGUUUAACCGAACUUCUUCUGCUCUCCCUUACCUGUAAAUGCCUAUGUGGAAUUGUACUUGCUGUUUUGGUUGUGAUUUAGUUCUCAGCAAUUUUAGUAUUUAACCAAGGCACUUAAUGGUUUUGGUGGUGGAAGAUUCUGUUAGAUAUGCGAGGAGUAGAAAAUGAAAAUAGAAAGUGAUAUAAGGAAGGAGUAAAUAGUUCAUUUGAUUCAAGCAUUCUUUAGCCAACUUAACAGUGGAUACAAUGUAUAAAUGUAUGCUUGCCCAAUUACUAUUGCCUGAAAGUAUGCAUUGCAUCAGCCUGCGAGGUUAAUGAUAUGGAAAGAAACAAAUAGUCAAGUAGCAGUCUAGCUGCUUUGUAGUGUACAUCUAAGAUUCUAAUUGUUGUUGCUAAAGCCUAAAGCAGUGAAACUUGAAGGUUAAAGCGAGCGAGAAGAACAGAAGUGGCCUUCGACAGUUGGCCCAGCAGUCAUAGUGACUAAUCGAUAGAGAGAGAGAGAGAGAGACAGAGGAGCUGAGCGCGAGAAGAACAGAAGUUAUAGAACAAAGAAUCAUAGAUGUUGUUGAGUGCUUAAGCGCGCAAAAGAAAGACUGAAAGGGAAAGAAAGGGAAGUGAGAGUAUGAGAGAGAGAGAGAGAGAGAGAGAGAGAGAGAUGAGGGAAAGUGAAAAGUGGCUUUGAUGAGAAAAUAUGAGAAUUAAAAAUUGUGAAAGCAACGACAAAAAGUUGGGCAGAGAAUGGGAACUGUGAUGAACAACUAAAAAGUGGGUUUAAUAAAAUAUUUGUUAUUACAUAAUAAAAAUAUAUAUAAAUUAUAAAAUUUUAAAAUUAGGGGCCUUCCAAAAUUGGGGGUCUUAAUCAACUGCCUAACUUGUUUUAUAGUUGAGUCGAUUCUGAAUCUAAAGGGAUACCAUUCUUAUUUGAUCAUAAUUAUAAAUUAUUAAAUAUUUUAAUUUAAAGUAAUGAUACAGAGUGUAGUUAAUAUGAAAAUAUUUUAAUCUUUCUCUGUUUAUUCUUAAUGUUUUAUUCUGGUGUUAUAAGAUUUGCAUUUUUUGAGAUUUAGACCAUGAAUUUUGCCAUCGUCUUUACGAUUUUUACUGUCUCUAAUUAAAUUCCUCAAUCGUCUCCUCUCCCCCCACUUUCUCUCCACAUGUUUGUGAUUUUUGACCCAAUUUUUGAAUUUUUUUGCUCAAUCCUUGUUUUUUGAUAAAAUUUAUUAAUCAUUUCUCUUUCUUUUUUGUGCUUGCCAUUCAUACUGUUGAGCAUAUUUCCCUAUUUUCAUGCGCUGUUCCUCUGUAAAUUUAGUCUAGUGUUCCCACAUUGCUACUCCUAAAAGAUUUGUCAAAAAAUAAAUAAUUAAAUAAAUUAUACUCAUCUAUAACAAAAUUAAUAUUGCUGACUAUUGAGAUAAAAACAAGAAUAAUAGUAUGUACAUAAUAUUCAGUAAGCAUUCACACAAAUAAAUAUUAACUAGCUACCUUUAUUGUCUUUCACCCAUAUUGCUUCGAGGCAACUCUAAUCUCUUUGCAUAAUCUUUCUAUGACUGUUUACUUUCUUUUUCUUGUUCGCCAGCUAUCAUGUUGGGCGAACUCUUCCAUUUUCUCUUAUUGUUUCGCAGUAAACAUCGUUUUCUAUUUCUUUCCUGUUAAUCUGCUAGACUCUGACGCUGUCGCCAUCUCUAGUGAAUGAGGUGGUUGAGAUGGUGGUGGUAAAAGAAGAGGUGGAGGCGGAGAAAAUGGAGAUGGUGGUGGUGAUAGUGAUGGCAUAGAAGAUAAAGGUGAAGGUAAUAGUGGCAGUGGAGAAGAUGGUAGUGGAAGAGCUGGUGGUGAUAGUGGCGACAGAAGAGCUGGAAAUAUAAGGGUUGGUGGUGAUAAUGGCAACAGAGUUGGUAUUGCAAAAAUUGGUGACAAAGGGGCUAGUGGUGAUAAUGGCAACAUAAUAGUUGAUAGUGUAAGAGCUAGUGGUGAUGUUGAUAAUUGUGGCGGUGGUGGUGGCCAAAAGGGGUAGGUGAGAAGGCAGGUCUUUCGACCGGUGAAAACUGUCACUAUCACCACCAUUUUUAUCUUUUUCGUUGUCACUAUCAUCACCAUCAACUCUCAUCUUUUCCACCUCUUUCACCAUCAUCUCAACCACUUUCAUUGGCAAUGGUGGCGUUGUUGGAGUCUAACGAAUUAAUGGCGAUGAGACAAAAAAUAAUGUUUAUUGCGAAAUAACAUGAGAAAAUAGAAGAGUUCGCCCAAUAGGAUAGCUGACGAACAAAAAAAAGAAAUUAAACAGUCAAAAUGAUUUUGCGAAAAGAUUGGAGUUGAUCCCGAAGCCUACAAGAUGUGGGUGAAGAACAAUAAAGGUAGAUAGUUAAUAUUUGUUUGUGUGAAUACUUGUUAAAAAAUAUAAUGUACGUACUGUUAUUCUUAUUUUUACUUUAAUAGUCAGCAAUGUCAGUUUUGUUGUAGAUGAGUGUAAUUUAUUUUUUAAGAAAUCUUUUAAAAGCAACGACGAGGAGACACUAAACUAAAUUUACAAAAGAGCAGGACAUGAAAAUAGAGGAAUACGUUAAAUAGUAUGGAUGUCAAACACCAAAAAGAGAGAAAGGAUCAAUAAAUUUUAUCAAAAAAUAGGGAUUGAGCAAAAAUUUUUCAAAAAUUGAGUUAAAAAUCAUAAACACGAGGGUGGAAGGGGAGGGGGGAAGACAACGGAGGAAUUUAAUUAGAGACGAUGAAGAUCGUGGAGAUGAUGACAUAAUUCAUGCUAUGAAUCUCAAAGAAUGUAAGUCUUGUAGCGGUAGAACAAAACGUUAUGAAUAAAUAAAGAAAAAUUGAAGUAGUUUUAACUUCUUCACUUUAAAGUAUAAUAUUUAAUUAUUUAUAGUUAUGAUCAAAUAGGAAUGGUGUCCAUCUGGAUUCAGAUAUCGAUAGUUUAAUCAUUUAAGAGUAAAUAAAUUGAUAGGGAUGUGCAAGUAAGAAUUAGUAGAGAAUAACAACAUUAGAGAAAUAUUUAAAAAGAAUUAUUGCUAUGGUAAAAGCUCUACCUAAAAAUAAUUUGGCAUUUCAUGAAAUUAAUGAAAAAAUCUAUCAUGUGAAUAAUGAUUUUUUUUUUUUUAUAUCGUGUUAAAAUGACAGAUGAAUUUGAUUCAGGAUUAGAACAUGUCUGACAUAUUUAAAAUGGUAAAAUUCAUAAUCAUUAUCUGGGACAUAAUAUUCAAAAUGAAUUGAUAUAGAUGUUAGCACAAAGUCAAGAGUAUGAUUUUGAAGAAAAUUAAAGAGUCAAAAUAUUUUUAUACUAUACUUGAUUGUAUUUAAAAUUUAAGUUAUCAAGAACAAAUGUCUUUCAUAUUAAGGUAUGUGGAUAUUCUAAUAGUAAUUAAAUAAUAUUUUGUCGAAUUUUUAAAAGUGGAUGGCACUUCUAGAAAAUGCUUCUUUAGUGAACUUAUAAGAGAAAUUAAAAAUUUGAAUCUCGAUAUUAAUGAUAUAAGAGGACAAGGAUAUGAUAACGGGUCUAAUAUGAGGGGAAAGCAAUAAGGUGUGCAAAAAAGACUAUUGAAGAUAAAUUCUAGAACAUUAUAUAUACUAUGUGAUUGUUAUAGUCUUAAUUUAGUAUUUUUUUUUUUAUGUUGUCACCUCUUUAGUUGCAUCUUUUUUUGAAAUUUAAUAACGCAUGUAUUUAUUAUUUUCUUUUUCAACGAAAAAAUGAAAAAUAUUAAAAGAUAACAUUUAAUUUAAUGAUUAAAUCAUUGUCACAAAUUUGUUGGGAAAGUUGUAUUGAAAGUGUUUAGGCAAUUAGAUUUUAAGUUCUAAUAAUACGAGAUGUUUUGUUUGAAUUACCAUAAAGUAGUGAUGAUGUUAAAAUAAACAGUGAAGUUAAAUGUCUUGCAAUGUAUGCAUUAGAGAAUUUUGAAUUUUUGUUGGGUGUAACUAGCUGGUAUGAUAUUUUGUGCACAAUUAAUUUAGUUAUUAAGAGCAUUCAAAAUGCAUAUUGAUAUCGUUAUAGAUCAAUUAAAAGAUUUUUUUUUUUUUUGAAAACUUGUAUAGGGAGAACGAAUUUCAAUCUUGUAUGGUUUUUGUCAAAAAACUUAAAAAUAAAAUGGAAGUAGAAUCGAUAUUAUGUGAAAAAUGUGUGAUUUGUAAGAAAAAUAAUUUGAUAAAAACGUUGAUGAUAAAAUACAAUUCGUUGAAUCAUUUAGAGUUUAUUUUAUAUACAUGAUUGAUCAAAUUAUUAUUUUUAUUUCAAAAUAGGUUUAAGCAAUUUGGAAUAUAUGAAAAAAAAUUUAGAUUUUUAUGCAAUUUUGAGAAAUUAAAAUCAAUGGAAGAAGAUGUUUUAAUAGUGUAGUGUUUGAAUCUUGAAAAUAUUUUUAGAUUUGAUGAACUUUCUGAUAUAGAUAGUUUAGAUUCAUUUUUUAGAAUUAAGAAUGUUUAGAGAAAUUUUUUGGAGGAAAAAGAAAUAGUCCGUUAGAAAUUUUUUAAUACAUUAAAAGAGUCGAUUUUAUUUUGAAUAUAUAUAUUGUUUAUAUAAUAUUUUUUAUAAUUUUAGUUUCAGUAGUUUUUGAAAAAGAAAUUUUUUAAAAUUGAAGUUAAUAAAAUCAUAUUUAAGGUUAAUUAUGGUACAAGAAAGAUUGAAUGGAUUAGUUAUCGUAUUUAUUAAACAUGAUUGAUUUAAUUAUGGAUAUUUAAUAAAUAAUUUUGUAUCUUAAAAAAUAAAAAAAAUUAAUUUUAUAUAAAAUUAAAUAUAAUUUAACGUAUGUUUGUGGAAUUAUAAUUUGCUUGUAAACUUUAUUUUUAAUGUUAUCAGUUUAAUGUAAGAAUUAGGGAGGUAUAAUUUUUUACUCGAUUUGAACUAUGUUUUCAAGUUUCAGGAAAAUUAAUUUUAUUUUUUUAUUUAUUAUAAUAGGAUGUUUGACUUUAUUUAUUUAAAAUAUUAUAUUUUAAUUAAAAUUUAUUAUUGUUAAUAAAUUAUCAUAUAGAAUUAAAUUUUAAUUUAAUAAAAUAAUGGAAUUUUUUUGUAAGGUGGUGUAGUAUUUUUUAUUUUAUAAAAAAAAUAAUAUAUUUGAAAAGGUCUCGACAAAUUUUUUUCACCUAAACUCUCAAUUUGGUUGAGCUGGCUUGGUCUGGACUUCUUGUUCAUGAAUUUGAUAGAAAAUUCUUCUAGAUGCAACAUUCAUUUGUCAUUGAUAUUUUCUAACAUAUUCACGUUGUUUAAAGAUUGUAAAAUUCUAGUUUUACAAUAAUACGUAGUAAUAGAAACAGUAAAAGAUUAUUGUUGCUAGUUAAUAUAUUUUGCUGUGCAUGGUCAGAUGCAAUGCAACGAUAGAAAAGUUCGCUUAAUUCAUGCUUGCGUUUUAAGUAGGGGUGAAGAAGAAACAUAUAUAUAUGAAAAGUGGCUGUCUCAAAUUUGGAUAAAUAAAACAUAUAUAUUCAAGUAAAAUUUUAUUUAAUUAAUUGUCGAUUAAUGUCACCAAUUAAGUGCAUUCUUUACUGUGUCGUCUACAACAAAUGUAAACGUCUUAUAGUCGGCCCCAAUAAUUAAAAACGUCAUUGCAAAAGUAUAAUAGAAAAAACAUUAAAUAGUAGGCUAAUCUAUGGUUAUUGGUGAGCGGAUGUUUUACUAAGGGCAAAUUUAUUAUAUUACUCUUGGAUAUUACCAGUUUGGUGUCGUCAUGUGCUUGUCUCACGAAACGUCACGUGUUCUCUUGAUUUUCAUUCCAUAUUUAAUUUUGAACGAGAUUGACUCGGACAAUCGAGAUAAUCUCUAGCGUCUUUUUCAGAAGUUAUUAUAUCUCUUCAGAGUAAGCUUUACGUCAUAUUAAAAUAGAGAUUAACUUUUACAAGUAUGUGUAUUUGACUACUUAGUGACUUUUCAUUUUGGAUAUUUUCUUCUACUGACUUGAGUGUCGGAGUCCUUUCGGGGGAUUAAAGCCCCGCCCUUGCAGGUACUUGCUUCAAGGUAGAUUUCGGUGAUCGGUCCAGUAUCAUCAGUUAUGUUGUAAUGGUAAAAUAUGAGAAGGUUAAAAGAGUAUUAGAGGUUUGAAUUCUUGUGGAGAUGAGGUCUUGACAUAUUUUGUUGUCCUUUCAGGGGUCUUAGCUACGUGACGUAAAGGGGAGAAUAGUUGCUUUUUGAACGUUUACUUUGAGUGUAAAUUAUGAUUGCAUCUAGAUUCAUAUAAGGGUAAAUAAGAGGGGAAGAUCACCGAAUUAGUUAUGUGUAAGUUCAAAAAUUUUAAAAUAAUAAUAAUAAUAAAAAAGUAUGUUUUCACUUAUUUGUGGUUUUCUCUUUGUGUGGGUGUAUUUUGCUAUGUUUUUGGAACAAUGCAAAAAAAGAAAAUGCAAGUAGUGUAUUUAUCUCAGAAAAGAAUAAAAGGAUUUUGCUUGAGAUUUCUUUUUAAUAUCUUGCAAUAAAGGGGUCUUGUUCAAGGUUAUCAAUUUUGUUUCUGGGUCAAGACAUGCUCCGUGCAAUUUGUAGUUGUCAUCGGAGCUUAUUAAUUCCAUCGUCGGGAGGAGGCGCCUUCCAUCAAGUAGGCGGCGAAAUCUAUUAUGAAAUGCUUGGAUCUUCUUCACCAUCAACAUUUUCACAGAUUUCGAUGGGACCCAAUUGAAGCAGUAGCUGAGACAAAG